rnacentral:misc_RNA from 1 species
GAUGAAGAACGUAGCGAAAUGCGAUACGUAAUGUGAAUUGCAGAAUUCAGUGAAUCAUCGAAUCUUUGAACGCACAUUGCACUCCUUGGUAUUCCGAGGAGUAUGCCUGUUUCAGUAUCAUGAGCACUCUCACAUCUAACCUUUGGGUUAAAAUGUGGAAUUGGGAUGCGCCGGUUAUUAUAACGGCCCUCCUAAAAUUCAGUUCUUGGCUGCUUCCUACUACAGCAGUUUGGCCUAAUAGUUUUGAGUCUUCGAUUCAAAUCUUUGGCUAACAUUUGCUUCAGGAUGUCAGUCUUGAUAUACAGAAAUCUCAUUCAAACUUUGUUCUGAAAUCAGGUAGGGCUACCCGCUGAACUUAAGCAUAUCAAUAAGCGGAGGA